rnacentral:rRNA from 1 species
UACGUAGGUGGCAAGCGUUGUCCGGAAUUACUGGGUGUAAAGGGAGCGCAGGCGGGAAGCCAAGUCAGCUGUGAAAACUACGGGCUUAACUUGUAGACUGCAGUUGAAACUGGUUUUCUUGAGUGAAGUAGAGGUUGGCGGAAUUCCGAGUGUAGCGGUGAAAUGCGUAGAUAUUCGGAGGAACACCGGUGGCGAAGGCGGCCAACUGGGCUUUAACUGACGCUGAGGCUCGGAAGUGUGGGGAGCAAACAGG